rnacentral:siRNA from 1 species
UUGUUGUUUAUAUGAAGUACGC